GGCGAGCCGGAGUGCGGGCUCGACGACGCGAUCGCCGCCGGCGAGGCCGACGUCGAGCGCGUCGAGUCGUUCCGGCGGCUGCUGGCCGC
rnacentral:tRNA from 1 species